rnacentral:rRNA from 1 species
UUUUUGAAAAGGGGGGGGGGUUUCCAGCCAUGCCGCGUGGAGGAUGAAGGCCCUCUGGGUUGUAAACUUCUUUUAUAGGGGACGAAAAAGGGUCUUUCUAGAUCAACUGACGGUACCCUAGGAAUAAGCACCGGCUAACUCCGUGCCAGCAGCCGCGGUAAUACGGAGGGUGCAAGCGUUAUCCGGAUUCACUGGGUUUAAAGGGUGCGUAGGUGGGUUAGUAAGUCAGUGGUGAAAUCUUCGAGCUUAACUCGGAAACUGCCAUUGAUACUAUUAGUCUUGAAUAUUGUGGAGGUUAGCGGAAUAUGUCAUGUAGCGGUGAAAUGCUUAGAUAUGACAUAGAACACCAAUUGCGAAGGCAGCUGGCUACACAUAUAUUGACACUGAGGCACGAAAGCGUGGGGAUCAAACAGGAUUAGAUACCCUGGUAGUCCACGCCCUAAACUAUGGAUACUCGACAUACGCGAUACACAGUGUGUGUCUGAGCGAAAGCAUUAAGUAUCCCACCUGGGAAGUACGAUCGCAAGAUUGAAACUCAAAGAAAUUGACGGAAAGAGGGGG